ensembl:lncRNA
CACGCUGCAUAUGUAUUUGGUUUUAUUGAAGAAGAGAGAUAUGAAUAGGUAGCCUGUUUUAAGGCACCUAAAAAUGUACAACAAAAGCUGGACCAUUUAUUUAUUCAGAAUACAAAAAUACACAUCUCAGUGACCCCAAAUCGUAAUAAAUAUUUAACCAUGCAUUCUAACCAUAAAAAGGCACAGAAAACAGUCACUUAGUAGUCAUAAAAAUGAUCAACUACUUUACCAAAAUCAUCCAGAUAGUAAUACAGGUGACAACUGUAACAUUAUAUUCCAAAUGUGAAAACACAAUACACAUCAUAUCAUUUAACCUUAGGCAAUAAAUAUGCAAAUAUUGUCUAUACCUACAUAUAUAUUCUUAAAAAUUAAAACUGUGCCAUUGUAAACAUAAUGUAAACAAAUGAAACUCACAUUUCUCCAAUCGCUAUAACAAACCAUGUCGAUAAUUAAUCUGUCUUUUCAAAGAUCCUUGCAUGGGUUUCGUUGGUUUCUGAAAACCAGGCAGUUUGCAGCAUUAUUUACAGACCUAAAAGAAACCAUAAAUAAAGUGGCAACUUCCACUCAGUGUUGAAAGAUUAAGCGCUCUCCUGCCUGGAGUCUGGAGCCAAAAAAAUCAAACAGAAAUCACUGAAGUUCUACAGAAACCGGCAGACACUUUAGACACACGAUAACGGACUCGGUUUGGUUUGAUGGAAACUUGAUGAGCUCUGCAGGAACAAGGCAGCAGAGAGCAGCACAGAAAGGCUUCAAUUAACCACUAAACCUAAGGCCAACUGUUGUCAAACAGUUAAAUCUGAGCCGCAAAAUCAAUAAAAAGGCAAAUGAUCUUCAGUCAGGCGGAGGGGAGAUAAAAUAAGACAGAAUCUCUGAUGUUUAGAAAGAUUUUAGCAUCUGUCUUUGGCUGCAGGAUGAACAUCAGCACCUACAUGAGAGAGUAGCUCAAUCUGAAGGGUUUCUGCAGCGUCCUGAACUGAUUGUCAGAGGAAGAUGAUGCCGUUUAAGAUGCGACUGGACUCUGGUGGGACAUUCGGGACUAUAUAUGGGCUGCAGUUGAACAGGGUUUACAGAAACACUUUUCCUCGAUGAAAAACAUCACAAGGUCAAAGGAGGAGACAGCUGAGGUGCUACGAGAAGAGAAGGCACUGAAGCACCUCUAUCUUUAAGCAUUUAGAGAAUUCAACCUGCAGUUAGGGCUGAACGUUUUGGGGGGAUAUUUAAUUGCGAUAUCUGUGUACACAAAAAAAUAAAAAGGAAAAACCAAAACAAAACAAUGAAAAUAAAUCAUAUGUUGUAGCAGAUUUAAAUACAGAAAGACUGUAAUUUCAUGGUCACACAUUGUGAAAGAACAAAUUACUAUUUGUAAAAAUACAGACGUUUCAUGUGGACAUUAUACACAUUUUUUGGUGUUUUAAUUCCAUAAUCUGUUAAAUUCAUAUUUUUUCUGUGAUUUUAGUACUUAAUUUAACAAAACAGGAAAAAUUUGUAAACUAACAGUCUUAAAAAAAUGACGUACCAUUUUUCAACCAUUUAAUAAAUUCCAUAUAAAUUAUAGAAUUAUAGAAUUUUUCAACAUUUCUGCUUCUAUUAUAAUAUUUCUGAUUAAAUACUGUAAAAAUAUUGUCAUUUUAUGGUCAAAUGUUGCAAAAGAGCAAAUUAUAAUUUGUAAAAAUACAAAUUUUUAAAGUUGACAUUAUUUACUGUUUUGGUUUGUUUUUUUAAUUUAAGAAAAUUAAAAUUUCCUCAAUUUUUUGUGAAUUUUACAAAAAUUCUCAAAGUAAUUCUCAAAGUAAUUCUCAAAGCAGUGGCAGUUAUUUUAAUACUUAAUUGUUGUAGCUCAAUUGGAAAUGAAUGAAUUGUUCAGCCCUAGCUGCCACUCAGAUACGUCCAGAUCAUUUCAAUCAGCUAUGAACCUUCACAGCAAACAGUAACCUUCAGAGAAUGUUAAUAAAAUGUUCCCUGGAUGUUCUCUGUAGAGUCAAUGAACAGUAACCAUCAGGGAACCUUCGUAGAAUGUUUGAGUAAUGUGCCUAAGACAAUCUCUGAAGGCUCAACGAACAAUAAUCAUCAGGAAAAUUUCAUGGACUGUUCAUGGAACUUUUUAUGGAUGCUCCCUAAAGGUUCCCUGAAGGUUCUUAAACAGUACCCCUCAGG